UGCCGGGGCAAUGAAAACUCUGAGUUCUGUUAGCUUCAGAGUUUCGUUGCCCUGGCUUC
rnacentral:pre_miRNA from 1 species